UAGGACUCUCGGCAAUGGAUAUCUCGGCUCUCGCAUCGAUGAAGAGCGCAGCGAAAUGCGAUACGUGGUGCGAAUUGCAGAAUCCCGUGAACCAUCGAGUCUUUGAACGCAAGUUGCGCCUGAGGCCAACUGGCCAAGGGCACGCCCGCCUGGGCGUCAAGC
rnacentral:rRNA from 1 species